rnacentral:lncRNA from 1 species
UUCGGAACAAAAGGUUUCAAACAUUUCACGAACAUCCAUUGAUACCAUUUCAAGAACAACGGUAUCAACCAAUUCAGAAACAAACGGUUUCAAAUAAUUCAGAAACAAAAUGUUUCAAAUAAUUCUGAAACAAAAUGUUUCAAAUAAUUCUGAAACAAAAUGUUUUAAAUAUUUCAAAAACGUUGGUUGAAACCAUUUAAGGAACAACAGUCACAUAUAAAUGAGUAACAACGGUAUCAACCAAUUGAAAGAACAAAAGUGCAAACAUUUCAGAGGAACAUUGGUUAAAAGCAUUUUAGGAACAAUGGUGUCAACCAAUUACGAAACAACGGGUUCAACUGUUUGAGGAACAAUGAUUUCAAUGGUUUUGGUCAUUUGAGAAACAAUGGUUGAAACCAUUUUAGGAACAAUGAUGACGAACUAUUUAGGAACAAAGGUUUCAAAC